UACGGAGGAUGCAAGCGUUAUCCGGAUUUAUUGGGUUUAAAGGGUGCGUAGGCUGUGUGUCAAGUCAGAGGUGAAAGCCCGGGGCUCAACCCCGGAACUGCCUUUGAUACUGGCAUGCUUGAAUUCGGAUGCCGUGGGAGGAAUGAGUAGUGUAGCGGUGAAAUGCAUAGAUAUUACUCAGAACACCGAUUGCGAAGGCAUCUCACGAAUCCGACAUUGACGCUGAGGCACGAAAGCGUGGGGAUCAAACAGG
rnacentral:rRNA from 1 species